UACAGAGGUCUCAAGCGUUGUUCGGAUUCAUUGGGCGUAAAGGGCGCGUAGGCGGCGGGGUAAGUCGGGUGUGAAAUCUCAGAGCUCAACUCUGAAACUGCACUCGAUACUGCUCUGCUUGAGGACUGGAGAGGAGACUGGAAUUCACGGUGUAGCAGUGAAAUGCGUAGAUAUCGUGAGGAAGACCAGUGGCGAAGGCGGGUCUCUGGACAGUUCCUGACGCUGAGGCGCGAAGGCCAGGGGAGCAAAAGGG
rnacentral:rRNA from 1 species